rnacentral:lncRNA from 1 species
UGAAAUCGAAUAAUGAUUUUGAAAAAUAGAGUAAUUGGAGACCACUUGUUAUGUUGUAAAUUUAUGAUUUGAAAUCGAAUGGCUUAUGACAAUAUUUGCAUGAAUGGCUGAAUUGGUAUUUGUGUUGAAAUAUAUGAAAUGUGUAUUUAGCCUUGAAAGGCUGUGAAUUACAAUAAUUGUCAUAUCAUGUUGUUGAAUUUUAUUGUAUGGUGGGUUUAGCUUGCUACAGUUGGCGGAUUCUGUGGACCAGCCUAUUAGAAGGGCACAAAAUUCGGAUAUAUAUAUAUGUACCUCGGUCGAAGAGGCUCGUAGGGUAUCUCCUGAGGUAUGGAUAGAGUUCACGUCACGUCGAACCACCUCGUGAUGAAGAACUCUGCUAACGCCAAGGAACGGCUGUGUUUUUCUCAAACUAAAAAUAUAUUUUACGUGUAUGUGAAAUUUUAACAGCCUUGGCAGGCUCGAGUGUACGCCUCUGAUCAAGGUGUCGUCGUGUACUAUUUGAUGGCAUGAGCCAAAUGUUUAUAGAAGUCAAAAGCCUAAAUGAGAAAUUAAAUAAAAUACAAUCGUUUGCAUGGGUUGGGAUGAGUUUUCAAAUUUGAAAU